CUACGCCCACGAGGUUGUGCUACAGCUGGCCAGCGGGGAGCAGCUAAGGGCCCGAGCUUAGCAGAAGGGAGAAGCAGAGAGAGCAAAUUCAGGCUAUGGAGACUGAAUCUUCCUCGGUACAAAGGCUUCAGACAGAGGCUUUGUGCCUCUCCCCACCCCCACUGGACUGAGCCUGUUGAAGUUCUGGAAUGUUCCUCCCCACAUUGGACUGCGUCCCUUGAAGUUCUGGAAUCCCUGCCCCGCUGUGCCUGUUGAAGUUCUAGAAUGUUCCUGGACAACACAUUUACUAAUGAGCAGAGCAGAAUGCAUUUGAAAUGAUCUAUGAGAUCUGAAGAGUCUUCUACGUUGGGAUAAACACCAAAGUACUUCUUCUUCUUAAUUCCCUUAUUAUUGGUUUUCUGUUGGGAGUUAUGUGACCAGUGUUGGCCUCAGAGGAUGUCACAGUGUGUUUAGAGCUACAAAUUAGAUAAGGUGUUAUCAUCAUCUAACCUGGCUAAUGCUGUGCUCACUGAAAAAUUGUAGUUUCCAUGGCAAUACUGAAAAUGGCUUUGCUGUUCACCAGCAAGUAAAAUAUAAGACAUUGCUUUUAACUAUUUGGACUUUGGAGAGCUCUAAAUAAAACUGCUUGUAGUGUU